rnacentral:rRNA from 1 species
UACGGAGGGUGCGAGCGUUGUCCGGAAUCACUGGGCGUAAAGGGCGCGUAGGCGGCCUGGCAAGUCGAUGGUGAAAGCCCGAGGCUCAACUUCGGGUCGGCCACUGAUACUGCUGGGCUUGAGUCGACUAGAGGCAGAUGGAAUUCCGGGUGUAGCGGUGGAAUGCGUAGAUAUCCGGAGGAACACCGGUGGCGAAGGCAGCUUCCUGGACCGAUUACUGACGCUGAGGCGCGAAAGCUAGGGGAGCAAACGGG